CUGAAACCGUGUGCCUACAAGUAGUCAGAGCCCGUUAAAGGGUGAUGGCGUGCCUUUUGUAGAAUGAACCGGCGAGUUGCGUUAGCCAGCGAGGUUAAGUCAGAAAAGACGGAGCCGCAGCGAAAGCGAGUCUGAAUAGGGCGAGCAGUUGGCUGAUGCAGACCCGAAACCAAGUGACCUACCCAUGACCAGGUUGAAGGCGCGGUAAAACGCGCUGGAGGACCGAACCCACGUAAGUUGAAAAUUGCGGGGAUGAGUUGUGGGUAGCGGUGAAAUUCCAAACGAACUUGGAGAUAGCUGGUUCUCUCCGAAAUAGCUUUAGGGCUAGCCUCGCAAAGAGGAUGCUGGAGGUAGAGCUCUGUUUGGACUAGGGGCCCGUCAGGGGUUACUGAAUCCAGAUAAACUGCGAAUUCCAGACAUUUAUAUGCGGGAGUCAGACUGCGAGUGAUAAGAUCCGUAGUCGAAAGGGAAACAGCCCAGAUCACCAGUUAAGGUCCCUAAAUACAUGCUAAGUGGAAAAGGAUGUGGAGUUGCGCAGACAACUAGGACGUUGGCUCAGAAGCAGCCAUCAUUCAAAGAGUGCGUAAUAGCUCACUAGUCGAGUGACGCCGCGCCGAAAAUUUACCGGGGCUAAGCAUGAUACCGAAACUGUGGAUGCAUACAAAAGUAUGCGUGGUAGGAGAGCGUUCCAGCGGCGAAGAAGCAUGACUGAGAAGACAUGUGGAGCUUCUGGAAGUGAGAAUGCCGGUAUGAGUAACGAAAGACAGGUGAGAAUCCUGUCCGCCGCAAGACUAAGGUUUCCUGGGGCAGGCUCGUCCGCCCAGGGUAAGUCGGGACCUAAGGCGAGGCCGAGAGGCGUAGUCGAUGGACAACAGGUAGACAUUCCUGUACUGCACCCAAUCGUUAUGAGCGAAGGAGGGACGCAGGAGGCUAGCAGCGCAUGGUGCUGGAAACCAUGUUCAAGCGCUGAGUCUGGAAAUGAGUCAAAUGCUUAUUUCCUUAAGGACAAGGCGUGAUGAGGAGCGAAAUUAAAGUAGCGAAGGCUGCGACGUCACACUGCCAAGAAAAGCUUCUAGCCAGAGAAGGUGCACCCGUACCGCAAACCGACACAGGUAGUCGAGGAGAGUAUCCUCAGGUGAGCGAGAGAACUCUCGUUAAGGAACUCGGCAAAAUGGCCCCGUAACUUCGGGAGAAGGGGCGCUGGUCGCAAGAUCAGCCGCAGUGAAAAGGCCCAAGCAACUGUUUAUCAAAAACACAGGCAUCUGCAAAAUCGUAAGAUGAAGUAUAGGUGCUGACACCUGCCCGGUGCUGGAAGGUUAAGAGGAGAGCUUAGCGCAAGCGAAGGUUUGAAUUGAAGCCCCAGUAAACGGCGGCCGUAACUAUAACGGUCCUAAGGUAGCGAAAUUCCUUGUCGGGUAAGUUCCGACCUGCACGAAAGGUGUAAUGAUUUGGGCACUGUCUCAACGAGAGACUCGGUGAAAUUAUAAUACCCGUGAAGAUGCGGGUUACCCGCGACAGGACGGAAAGACCCCAUGGAGCUUUACUGCAGUUUAAUAUUGGGUAUCUGUCAAGCAUGUACAGGAUAGGUAGGAGCCGGAGAAGAUAGGACGCCAGUCUUAUCGGAGGCGCUGUUGGGAUACUACCCUUGCUUGACGGAUGCUCUAACUCAGGCGUGUAAACCAGGCCGAGGACAGUGUUUGACGGGCAGUUUGACUGGGGCGGUCGCCUCCUAAAGUGUAACGGAGGCGCUCAAAGGUUCCCUCAGAAUGGUUGGAAAUCAUUCGCAGAGUGUAAAGGUAAAAGGGAGCUUGACUGCGAGAGAGACAACUCGAGCAGGUACGAAAGUAGGACUUAGUGAUCUGGUGGCGCCGCAUGGAAGGGCCAUCACUCAACGGAUAAAAGCUACCCUGGGGAUAACAGGCUUAUCUCCCCCAAGAGUUCACAUCGACGGGGAGGUUUGGCACCUCGAUGUCGGCUCGUCGCAUCCUGGGGCUGAAGUCGGUCCCAAGGGUUGGGCUGUUCGCCCAUUAAAGCGGCACGCGAGCUGGGUUCAGAACGUCGUGAGACAGUUCGGUCCCUAUCCGUCGUGGGCGCAGGAAAUUUGAGA
rnacentral:rRNA from 1 species